UGGGGGAUAUUGCACAAUGGGCGAAAGCCUGAUGCAGCGACGCCGCGUGGGGGAUGAAGGCCUUCGGGUUGUAAACUUCUUUUGCUCUGAACAAGGCAUGCCUUUGGUGUGUGUUGAGUGUAGGGGUUGAUUAGCGCCGGCUAACUACGUGCCAGCAGCCGCGGUAAUACGUAGGGCGCGAGUGUUGUCCGGAAUUAUUGGGCGUAAAGGGCUUGUAGGUGGCUGGUUGCGUCUGUCGUGAAAGCUCAUGGCUUAACUGUUGGUUUGCGGUGGGUACGGGCUGGCUUGAGUGCAGUAGGGGAAGGUGGAAUUCCUAGUGUAGCGGUGGAAUGCGCAGAUAACAGGAGGAAUACCGGUGGCGAAGGCAGGUCUCUGGGCUGUUACUGACGCUGAGGAGCGAAAGCGUGGGGAGCGAACAGG
rnacentral:rRNA from 1 species